GACGAACGCUGGCGGCGUGCUUAACACAUGCAAGUCGAACGGAAAGGCCCUGCUUUUGUGGGGUGCUCGAGUGGCGAACGGGUGAGUAACACGUGAGUAACCUGCCCUUGACUUUGGGAUAACUUCAGGAAACUGGGGCUAAUACCGGAUAGGAGCUCCUGCUGCAUGGUGGGGGUUGGAAAGUUUCGGCGGUUGGGGAUGGACUCGCGGCUUAUCAGCUUGUUGGUGGGGUAGUGGCUUACCAAGGCUUUGACGGGUAGCCGGCCUGAGAGGGUGACCGGCCACAUUGGGACUGGGAUCCGGCCCAGACUCCUCCGGGAGGCAGCAGUGGGGAAUAUUGCACAAUGGGGUGAAGCCUGAUGCAGCAACGCCGCGUGCGGGAUGACGGCCUUCGGGUUGUAAACCGCUUUCGCCUGUGACGAAGCGUGAGUGACGGUAAUGGGUAAAGAAGCACCGGCUAACUACGUG
rnacentral:rRNA from 1 species